rnacentral:rRNA from 1 species
UACGAAGGGGGCGAGCGUUGUUCGGAAUUACUGGGCGUAAAGGGCGCGUAGGCGGCGAUCCUAGUCAGAUGUGAAAGUCCUGGGCUUAACCUGGGGACUGCAUUUGAUACUGGAUUGCUUGAAUGCAGGAGAGGAUAGCGGAAUUCCGAGUGUAGCAGUGAAAUGUGUAGAUAUUCGGAAGAACACCAGUGGCGAAGGCAGCGAACUGGCGCUCGAUUGACGCUCAGGCACGAAAGCAUGGGGAUCAAACAGG